AAUUCAUUCAGUUGUUUUACAACAUCCAACGUCGAGAACGUGAAUUUGGUCGUUAGGUUAGUUUUGAAAUUUGACACGUGUUUUGUUUCGUUCGCUGGAUUAUUUCUUCGUGAAUAACUGGCCUGAAUUAAGUACGAUAUUGUGAGGUGAAUUGGAAUUGUUCACAGCGAAUUUUCUACGUUAAUUUGGUUACGCCACUGAACAGACGAGCAGACCAGACAGACGCUCGCCCUUGCCGGUUACUUUCCAUCCCUUCCACAAUCGGAAACUUGGUUGUAGGCAAAACAAUAGACAAACGCACAAACUGUUUUUGUGUGUCUUCUGACUGUGUAGAGUGUGGAGGUAUCAGAUAAGGUAGAAUGUAGUUUCAACAGUUGGACCCACGUUAUCGUUCCUCGUGCCUGGGUCCUGAUGGCAUUCCUUUCUAUCUACUUCAAAAUGUUCGGAAACAUGUCUACCUCAAAUGCGACAUACCCUACCCAUGCAAAAUUGCCAUGUUGGAUUAUGAAGCGACAAAAUACCUAAAUGUUACUUCCUACUCCGUUAGUACCUGGGUUACUACAGUUCGGUAUGUAUUUGUUUUUUAUUAGGAAAUUUGAGUUUCGAAAAUAACUUAUACGCUUCAUAAAACUGUCCAGACAGGAAUGAUGAUAAGAAAGUUGCAAUCGAAAUAUCAGUUAAGAAAUAAUUAUUUUUUCCCAUCAUUACAAUUUCAUUAUCAUCGGCAACACCGAUAAUAUUAAAGAGAGGAAUAUUUUCGAUACAAAACAGGAUCGAAAAGCUCUGAAUAUCCGGGUGUUUAAAAUUUAGUGUGAUAAUUUUAUACUAUAAUAUUCUCUGAAUAAUUUUAAACCCGAAAUGAGUUCAUAUGAAUGAAGAUCCGCAAACAGUCAGGAACUAGGGAGUGUUAAAAGCUUGAAUUUUUUUUCGGUUUUUUGUUCGUAGCUCCUACAGAUUUCGGCAUAUUUGGCUGUACAUAAUCGAUCCUGCCAAAUAGUUAUGGAAAUCUAAUAGGUGAUAUUUCGUCCGCUGUUUUUUUACCUCAUAUCUCCCCAAGUUUUUUACGUGUAUUAUUUCAAAACUUAAAAUAAAUUCCUUGUUUCAUUUGCAAAAUUUUCGGACCGCCGGCACGUUUUCAUUGUUUUCGUAUACUGAAUGAGCUAUCAAGAAAAGACUGAAAAAAAAUUCAUACGUGAAGCCUGUUUGCAAUAGGCGAGAAUUCUCUAGAGAUUUUACUCGAGAAUUCAUGCGCCGUGAAUUCUUUACCGUUACAUACGCACUUUCGGUAGAAUUCUCUGUUCAGUUGCAUACAAAAUAAUCUUUGCCGUUUUCUUACCAAAAUUUGGUAGAGAAUUCUCGGUUGUUGCAAACGGGCUUAACUGAGAGCUUGUGGACCUAUGUUUGUAUGGAAUGUUUGCCUUGAAAUAACCCGGGAGAUAUAUCCCAAAAAUUAUUGCACUGAAUUGUGAAGCACCCUGUAUUAUAUGUAUUCAACCGUAACAAAUUUUUACAAUCUCACAUCUAUUCUGUAGGAUUGAAAUAUAUGCAUCGCAUCGUGAUUCCGAAUAUGGUCGAAAAUUAUCUUCUAAGUCCGUUUGUAACAGCCGAGAAUUCUCUGAAGAAUUCUAUGCCAAAUUUUGGCAAGGAAACGGCAGAGAUUAUUUUGUAUGCAACUGAACAGUGAAUUCUACCGAAAGUGCGUAUGUAACUGUAAAUAAUUAACGGCGCAUGAAUUCUCGAGUAAAUUCUCUAGAAAAUUCUCGGCUGUUGCAAACGGGCUUGAGGAAUAAUAAAUAACGUUUACAACUUCGCUCAUUUUGGGUACCAUGACAUGGCAAAUUUGACAAUACAGCAGGUAAAUUCUUUGAAUUUCUUUUGUGGACCCGAGGGUGGACCAAACAAAAAAGAAAGUUUUUUCAUAGGUUCAGGUCAGUUAUAACAACAAAUACAGGAUUCCGCACAAAGUACAUAACAUUUUUCAAAUGGCAAGUACUCUCCGCAUAUCAGAGACAAUAAAUUUCAAUUAAUAAAUUUAUAUAUUGAACUUUUUAUAGAUUAAUAAAGAAUUCAUUCAUGACAAUGAAAACUGAUGUUAAAAAUGAGUAUCCCAGAAAAAUACUUCUAUAUGACAAUUUUUAAAAUGUAAAAUUUUACUCGGCGGAAUAAUAGAUAUUUAUUGCAAUAUAAUUAUUGCCUUUCACAUAUUACUAUGAAUGUGUAAAUUUGCUGUUGGUUGUUAAUUCAAAGAAUGAACUUAUUGCCAUUCACUUCAAAGAACUUGAACCCCUAGAAGGAAAAAGGUAG